rnacentral:lncRNA from 1 species
AGGUACUCCAUUGUCUGAUGGAUCUGAGAACGCUGUCUGGGCUUGGUACCAAGAGCUGGUAUUUCACAGCAGCGACCGCCUCACAGACGAGCUGUGGGAAGCAGGAGGGAGACUCUCUCUUAGGGUGCCACUACUAUGGAGACACAGCUGGGCUGAACAAGAUUUGCUUCAAACGACAACAAGAGAGACAGAAAGUAUCUGGUUCAACCGCUGCCCGAGCAGGCAGGCACCAGAAGAGCUAGCAGCCAAUCCGGCCAUGCUCGAAGCCAGCUCUGCAGCUCAGCCAAUCAGUGACAUCAUUGCUUUCUUUAGCUUGCCCAUGGUGAUGUGAAGAUGAGAAGAAAUAGCAAGGCCCAACCAGUUCUUCAUCUGGAGACAGUUCAACGUUCUGCAAACCAGAUCUUCAGGAAUUUUACUGGGAUAAUUAUCCAAAUAAAUUGCAAGCAUUCUAUCCAAAUGAUAACUAUCACCUGAAUUUCCAGUCAAGUGAGGAGGAAUCAGGAGUCUCCAACAUGGUUGGCGGGAAACUCCUUUCAAAUGGACUCUGCCGUCUUGUCCCUUUUUUAUCCUCAUGCGAAUUAUCAUUGCUUAUGAGUAAAAUAAGUCAACGGAAUGCUUGGUAUCGUUCAAAACAGAUAAAGGACCGUGGAGACGUACUCAUGGAUGGAGAAAAUGGACCCACAGAAGAUUGCCUCAGGACAUCACAGGGGUUAUCUAGAGCAAAAAAAAAA